rnacentral:rRNA from 1 species
GACAGAGGGUGCAAACGUUGUUCGGAAUUACUGGGCGUAAAGCGAGUGUAGGCGGUUCGGUAAGUCGGAUGUGAAAGCCCCCGGGCUCAACCCGGGAAGUGCACUCGAUACUGCCGAGCUAGAGUAUCGGAGAGGUUGGUGGAAUUCUCGGUGUAGAGGUGAAAUUCGUAGAUAUCGAGAGGAACACCGGUGGCGAAGGCGGCCAACUGGACGAAUACUGACGCUGAGACUCGAAAGCGUGGGGAGCAAACAGG